rnacentral:rRNA from 1 species
UGCAAGUCGAACGGGCUAGUGCUUCGCACUAGUCUCUUUCUGGGGUUGUUACUCUAAGGCUACCUGCUAAAGUUAUUGCUUUAAAGCAGGGGUUUUAGGAGACUUUCCCCGAAAGGGGCCAGUGCGGAGCACUGGCCAGUGGCGAACGGGUGAGUAACACGUGGGUAAUCUACCCUCGAGUGGGGAAUAAGCUUCCGAAAGGGGGUCUAAUGCCGCAUAACGUUUCAUAACGAUGGUUAUGAAACCAAAGCCCAAAAGGCGCUCGAGGAGGAGCCUGCGUCCUAUCAGCUUGUUGGCAGGGUAAUGGCCUACCAAGGCUAUGACGGGUAGCCGGCCUGAGAGGGUGUCCGGCCACACUGGAACUGAGACACGGUCCAGACUCCUACGGGAGGCAGCAGUGGGGAAUUUUGCGCAAUGGGGGAAACCCUGACGCAGCGGCGCCGCGUGGAGGAUGACGGCCUUCGGGUUGUAAACUCCUGUCAGAAGGGACGAAAUCCCGCAAGGGACUGACGGUACCUUCAGAGGAAGCCCCGGCUAACUACGUG